GCCAGGGUGGUGAAAUUGGCAGACACACACGGUUUAGGGCCGUGUUCCCUUUAACGGGAGUGCAGGUUCGAGUCCUGUCCCUGGCA
rnacentral:tRNA from 1 species